rfam:Toxocara canis scaffold307, whole genome shotgun sequence.
GCGGCAGUAGCUCAAUGGUAGAGCCCGCGCUUCGCAUGCGGGGAGACCAGGGUUCGAUUCCCGAUUGCUUCC